rnacentral:lncRNA from 1 species
AACUGAUUUUUUUUUUGCUAUGUUAACAAAAGAUGCUGCCCUUCUUCCCACAAGAUCACUUUGCACACCUUGUUGCAACAUCAUUGUACAGCAACUCUCAUCAAAAAGUGGAGACCAAUUCCUAAAUCAUUUAAUCUGGUUGUGCCUGUUGGCUCACACACAGAAAAUGAUGGAAGCCUGGCCCAACUACAGGAAGAUAAUGGCCCAGUCGUAG